rnacentral:misc_RNA from 1 species
GUGGUCUCAUGUAAGAUGGGGGACAUGGAAUCCUAUUUGAAUCAACAAAGACCACCAUUUUAGUCCAAUACACAAUCCAAAUCAAGUGCUGUAAAAAAGAAGCAUGCCACCUGGUAUUUUAAGGUGACAAAAGGUUAUCAUAGAAAAAGCCCUGAAAUUAUCUUAUAUAUAGGAAGAAUCGAUUAUACAUUACAAAACUAGGAAAAGAAUAACUGAAAGAUGCAAAAUCAAGUAGUUAUUCAUCAAAGUUUCAUUUAUCCAAUGACUAGGAUCAUUAUUUAAAUUUCUUUCAGAGUAGAACCAUGUAGCACAAAAUACAAGAUAUAUCUUCCAAUGAAUAGGAUCCAUGUCCAAAUUAUGGAAAAAAACGAGUGCUUCCAUGACUCUGCCAUUCAGUCAAUUCUGUUCCACUUAAUCCUUAUUUCAUGGCUACAUAUCUUUUAGGCCAAGAAAUGGAAAACUAUUACGAUCCCACAUUGCUAAGGAACAACCUUGGUGAGAGAUUAUUAAGUCCCUAGGUAACCUCCCCUUGCAAGCCAGUUUUCAAGGGCAAAUUCUACCUGGAUAACCUAUCCUCAACUGUGCAACCUUAGCGACUCGUGGUGCCCAACAGUUUAUAUCAAUUGAUAUCAAAGCCAGCCCCAUCUUGCCAGACCCAACACUCAGACUGGUGGCCUAAACCCUUUAUGUAAUGACAGGUGAUUCAAUUUGUAGGGUGCUAGCCAUAACCCAUGAGGACAUUGGUUCUCCAAGCAUGGGGUACUAUUACGAUCCCAUAUUGCUAAGGAACAACCUUAGUAAGAGGUUAAUAAAUCCCUAGACACUCUUCUCUUACAGCCACAUGGUCUAAAGAGUGGUUAUUCCCACAAUGGCAUUUAGUGGUAUCUCUGGUGGAUCAUUAUUGAUAUUUGGCUCAGGUUCAUUUGGUUCGUCAUCCCCUUCAUCUAUUGAUUCAAUCCAGAACAAUCUCUUACAUUGAUGCCCCCCUAACCAAUCAUUCAUCAUAGUUGUAACAAAGACCUUUAAGUCGUCUUUAUUCCAUCUUGACCCUAUUUAAUUUUUUAACAAGCGCAUAAAGCUAGUGACGGAUCAAGAGAUUUAACACUCCCAGCCUUUGUCAUUGGUGACCUGAUGGAAUUCCUUUUCCAUUCAUAAAGCUGAGACAUGCUCUUUGUAGUUGCCAAAUCUGUAGGAUUGUGUAAUUCCACCUUGACUGCAAUGUAUUCUUAGAGACCGCUGAUGCAAAGCUCAAUUUUUUGUACCUGGGUAAGGACACCUGCCCAUGUAAUCAGUUGCUCAAAUUUCACCUGGUAAUCUGCCACUGACCCACUCUUUUGUAAUUUUGUCAACUCACCCAAUAUGUGACUUCUGAUUGGUGGACCAAAUCGCAAAUGACAUUGGCACUUAAAUUCAUCCCAUGUAAGUUGUGGGGUGUCAAACUCCAUUUGAAGGAACCACAACUGAGCAUUGCCCUCCAAAUGGAAUGAGGCGAGGCUAACCUUCUCUUCUUCUAGUAUUUGUUGAUGACAGAAGAAAUGCUCACACCUGCUCAACCAUCCUAGUGGAUCUUCAUUGCCACUAAAUUGUGGGAAAUCCAAUUUGGUGAAUUUAGAACAAUGGUACCACCACCUAAAUUUUCAGAACCUAUAGUUGCCACACCCUUUCCCCUUCAACCUUGGUUGCUACUUCCUCUGUUGGAGCGUUGUUGAGUCGAGAGGUAGAAAAAUCCUUGGUAAGUUUGUCCAGGCGAGCAUUGACAGCUUCCUGACUUGCAAUGUUGGCUGCACGUUCUUCUUGGAACAUUUUUAAGAGCCAUUCCAAUUGUUAUUGCAUUGCAAGCCGAUUUUCAAGGGUGAGUUUUACCUAAGUGGCCUAUCCUCACAUAUGCAACCUUAGUGACUCGUGAUGCUCAACAGUUCAUAUCAAAAACCUUUCUCCGAUUACCCAACUCCCAUUUUCUUUUCUGAUUAUCUUUUGCAGAAUAUCAAGAGCUAAGACCAUUCUAAAGCUCCUUUUCUCCAUUAGCUGAACCAACAAUAAGAUAACCCAAUUCUAUUAUAAAGAUAAAAACUGCCGCAGUAGAAGUAAUAGUGACUGCUGUAGUAUACAAUAACAUUGAUAAUUUAGUCGGAGUAAGGUGCAUUGGAAAUCUCAGCACUAAUGACACUUCCAUAACAAGAAUUAGAGUGGAGUGGAAAAUGUCUUAA